GAUGAACGCUAGCGGCAGGCUUAAUACAUGCAAGUCGAGGGGCAGCAUGGUGUAGCAAUACACUGAUGGCGACCGGCAAACGGGUGCGGAACACGUACAGAACCUUCCUUCGAGCGGGGAAUAGCCCAGAGAAAUUUGGAUCAAUACCCCAUAGUAUAUUGAAAAGGCAUCUUUUUAAUAUUAAAGAUUUAUCACUUGAAGAUGGCUUUGCGGCUGAUUAGGUAGUUGGCGGGGUAACGGCCCACCAAGCCUGCGAUCAGUAACUGGUGUGAGAGCACGACCAGUCACACGGGCACUGAGACACGGGCCCGACUCCUACGGGAGGCAGCAGUAAGGAAUAUUGGUCAAUGGACGAAAGUCUGAACCAGCCAUGCCGCGUGGAGGAUGAAGGUCCUCUGGAUUGUAAACUUCUUUUAUAUGGGACGAAAAAAGGCUUUUCUAAGUCGUCUGACGGUACCAUAUGAAUAAGCACCGGCUAACUCCGUGCCAGCCGCCGCAGUAACAC
rnacentral:rRNA from 1 species